AAAACGUCUGAAAGUUCAUGGAGGUGUUUAGUAUUGUUAGGCCCAAAAAGAACAAUUGUAGAGCAGUUAUGCCAACCUAACCCGAAUUAGGCAACAGAGGUUUCUGGGUAGUCCCCGGGCAGAAUCGAAGACAUAGUUGUUUAAGCUGAAAAAAUGAGAUAAGAGGGAAGCUGCAUUCCUGUACCAGAUGUGCUACGAACAGCGUGCUCAGAAGAUAGAUUAGGAGACAUACUGUCUCCACUCCCUGUUUCUGUUCUUUGUAUGUUCUUGACUCCCCCUGUCUCCUAGUUCUGGUGCUUGUUAACCGUGCUGAUAAGAAAGUUGCUGAGACAUUAAUUGCUUAAGGCUGCUUGUAUAGGGGGAUAGGUAUACAUGAAUACUAAAAGUUUCUCGCUAACAAAGGGGGGUGGGAUGCGGGUUGUUUUAACUGAAUCAUUUAUGACGCGAUGGAACUGUCCAUAUAACCCUACUAGAUGUUAGAACGGUGGCUGGUUCUCUCUGGAGACGGGCCGCUCUCUAUUGUUGUGUGCACUCCUCAAUAAAGAGCUUGUCACCGGACCUUGCUGGUGUUGCCUGUCUCUCUGCAGUCAGACAACAAACCGUGCCGUCUGGGUUCUGAGUCCCCGACAAAUUUGGCGACCAUGAAGGGACUCGUCUGACUCUCCGGCGCGGGAUCAGACUCUGAAGCAACGUAGCGUGUGUGACGUUAUUGACAUAAACUGGGACCGUAUAGAUCAUUGUUGCAACCAAGGUCCUGUGGUGGCACCCAAAUCUUGUAUAAAGGGGGUCAAAUGGGGUGUCUAGGACAAGGUUAUGGUUUACUGGUUAUGAUUAUGCUGUCUAUAUGUAUGUAUCAGUUUUGUAGUUGAAGUUAUGAAUAUUGGCUCUAGACUGUCUGUAUGGCAAACUUAUGCUAUGCUUCUGGGUGACAUCCCAGACAAGCUGAGAUUAGCUCUGCCUAGCCUGCUUGAUGGCCCAUUAAGGACCAUCAGCUAUACAAUGGACCCAUUGAGAGAAGGCAGAUACGCCUUGUAACUCAGCAAAGUAUGCAGGGACUGUCCCAUGUGACUCCAGACUCCAUUUUGCUGUAAUUUUCCACAGUAAGAACAAAGAGGUGAUCUUACACCUGGGAAAGACUAUAUAAGGCUGAUGCCUCAUCUCCAUCUGGUCUUCAAUCCUGCUUCAUACCUCUGGAGGAACUUUGCUACAAGCUGAAGCUUUGAACAAAGGACUGAGGACCCAUCCCAGCGGGGGAUGUAUUCCAGAGACUUGAUUUGAACCUGCAGUUUAUUCCAUCGCUGCUGCAAGCCUGAACCAAGAACUUUGCCAUUACUGUAUGUAAUUGAUUCCAUUUAACCAAUUCUAACUCUCAUCUCUAUCUUUUUCCUUUUACGAAUAAACCUUUAGAUUUUAGAUUCUAAAGGAUUGGCAGCAGCGUGAUUUGUGGGUAAUACCUGAUUUGUAUAUUGACCUGGGUCUGGGGCUUGGUCCUUUGGGAUCAGGAGAACCUUUUUUCUUUUACUGGGGUAUUGGUUUUCAUAACCAUUUGUCCCCAUAACGUGUGGCACUGGUGGUAAUACUGGGAAACUGGAGUGUCUAAGGAGAUUGCUUGUGAGACUUGCGGUUAGCCAGUGGGGUGAGACCGAAGUUCUCCUAGUCUGGCUGGUUUGGUUUGCCUCAGAGGUGGAAAAACCCCAGCCUUGGGCUGUAACUGCCCUAUUUGAGCAAUUUGUCCUGAGUUGGCACUCUCAGUUGGGUUCCGCCAGAACCGCAUUGUCACAGUGGCGUAGUCGUGCUUGGAUCCACAGAACCAGGUCAAUUAAGUUUUGGGUCAGAACCCCGCGCUAUCCAAAUUUGAAUUUUGGGAUUGAGAGUUUUGUUGGUUAAAGAGCUGCUGCAAUGGCUGAGCAAAGAGCAUAUGAGGGACUUGGCAAAAAAGCCCUGGAAAAUUUGUGUUCAGAAAAGAUGAUAAGCUUUAGAAAGAAAGCUACAAAUCAAGAACUGAGAAAUCUGUUAAUAGCCAGUGAUCAAGGGGCAAGAGCACAGCCCUUACCUGAGGCUGCAGAAGAGGCAGAAAAAAUUAGAAUGCAAAGGGUGACAAGUAAACUGCAAUUUGAGCAUGAACAGAAGCUAGCAGAUCUUCGAUUGCUGGAGAAGCAAAAAAUAGCAGAAUUAGAGAAGGAGGCUGCUGAGAGAGAGAAGGAGGCUGAUGAGAGAGAAGAGAGAGCUCGUAAGGGGCGUCUAGAGCUGCUCGUGGCUGAACAGGAGACGGCCAGACUUCAGCUCCAAGUAAUGGAAGAGCGGAGAAAGUCAUCCCCACCGGGUACUCCACUUCCCCCCCGCCAUGAGAAAAACUGGGAAAGGAUGUGUCUCAUUUACAACGAUACUGAGGAUAUAGAGGAGUUUUUGUCUACCUUUGAACGCCUCUGCAAUCUGUACCAGAUCCCUGAGGGUCAGUGAAUGCCUGUCCUGCUGACCAGACUGACUGGAAAAGCCAGGGAGUAAGAACAAAGAGGUGAUCUUACACCUGGGAAAGACUAUAUAAGGCUGAUGCCUCAUCUCCAUCUGGUCUUCAAUCCUGCUUCAUACCUCUGGAGGAACUUUGCUACAAGCUGAAGCUUUGAACAAAGGACUGAGGACCCAUCCCAGCGGGGGAUGUAUUCCAGAGACUUGAUUUGAACCUGCAGUUUAUUCCAUCGCUGCUGCAAGCCUGAACCAAGAACUUUGCCAUUACUGUAUGUAAUUGAUUCCAUUUAACCAAUUCUAACUCUCAUCUCUAUCUUUUUCCUUUUACGAAUAAACCUUUAGAUUUUAGAUUCUAAAGGAUUGGCAGCAGCGUGAUUUGUGGGUAAUACCUGAUUUGUAUAUUGACCUGGGUCUGGGGCUUGGUCCUUUGGGAUCAGGAGAACCUUUUUUCUUUUACUGGGGUAUUGGUUUUCAUAACCAUUUGUCCCCAUAACGUGUGGCACUGGUGGUAAUACUGGGAAACUGGAGUGUCUAAGGAGAUUGCUUGUGAGACUUGCGGUUAGCCAGUGGGGUGAGACCGAAGUUCUCCUAGUCUGGCUGGUUUGGUUUGCCUCAGAGGUGGAAAAACCCCAGCCUUGGGCUGUAACUGCCCUAUUUGAGCAAUUUGUCCUGAGUUGGCACUCUCAGUUGGGUUCCGCCAGAACCGCAUUGUCACAGCGUGCAUCCUCCGGUUUCGAGGAGCCUUGCCCAGUGACCUGAUCCCUGUGUCGGCGAUAAGGCGUGUUCUGCGAACCAGCUGAAGCCCGUAAAAAUCCAGCAACGUCCACCUAUCCGUUGAGUAGGAUCUGGGUCUUCGGGGUUCGAGUCCCUGGAGAAGGUAAGCGAUCGCUCGGCAUUGAGAGGUGGUGUUCGAGUCCCUUUACUGUCUAGAUGGGACAAUUUGGCAGUAAAUGCCCGGGGGACGCCCCAUUGUCUCUGAUACUCAGAGAUUGGAAGGGAAUCUCUGGAACAACCGGUUUGGCUAAAUCUAAAAUGAGAAAUUUAUGUCAAAUUCAAUGGCCUUCCUUUACUGCUCAUUUGUCCCCGACUAAAGAUUGGCCAAGCUGCGGAACCUUUUCCGCAGACAGGAUGAAUUCCUUAAGAGAGAUUUUGGUUGAUCUUAGACCGGGACAAAUGGAUUAUUUAUUUGUAUGGUAUAACUAUAAACCAAAUGAGGGACGUACGGCCUUUGAAGCCAUUUGUAUAGAAGAAUCUGUUAAAACUCCCCCACCCUAUGCCCCAGAAAAUCAACCUGAAGAAGAUGGGUAUAUCCCAAAGAGAGUACCGCCAAGGCGGAGCUCAAGAGCACUGGUAGAGAGUGAGAAGACAGAGAUGAAGAGGGAUGCUCAAGGAGCGGGUCCUUCCAAACCCUUAGGAGAAUUCUCGGGAACUUUCAUGGCACCUUUUGGGUCCCCUGUAACUACAAAAGCAGUCCAAGCUUCUUUGCGAGCUUACCCUGUUCCCCAGAGUACUGGGCAGCAUCAAAUGGUGCUUACUCACACUCCAUUCACAACUGCAGACUUAUUAAAUUGGCAGUGUUCUAUGCCGCGCCUUCAAGAUAACCCCGAGGUGGUAGAAAGAAUGUUUCGUCCAUUUUUUCUAUUCAUUUACCGACAUGGGCAGAUGUGAAUCAGUUGUUGGACACCCUCUUAACCGAGGAUGAACGUCAAAAGGUUAAAGAACAGACUGCGGCAUUUUACCUGAGUCACCAAGGUUGGGGAAUUAUGCCCACCGCUGAGCCUGAUUGGGAUCCGAAUUCGGAUAGGGGCAAGAAGAGUUUGAAUCGGUACCGACAAGCUAUUUUGCAUGGAUUAAUGGCAGCUGGAGAGGCUACCCCAAAUUGGGGUAAGGUUACUGCAUGUGUUCAACUCCCUAACGAACAUCCCUCCGAUUUUUGCACUCGGUUAACAAAUGAGGUUAGAAAACACAGUAACUUGGAUUUAGAAUCAGAUUAUGAAAAGAAAAUGGUUAAGAUAGUAUUUAUGGCACAGUGUGCAGAGGACAUUGCAAAAAGGUUUAGGGAACACCUGGAUGGAAUGCAAGGGAAAAGUUUACCUGAAGUAGUCAGUAUUGCAAUGCGAGUUUAUAAUGGGAAAGAGGAAAAGAGGGAAAAGGAAAAAAGGAAGAAAAAGCAAAAGGAUGUGAAGAAUCAAGUGUCCUUGGCAGUGCCCAUGUCGGGAGGCAAAGGAAGGGGUCGUGGGUGGAGCCGCGGCUCCAGGGGAGGAUUUGCUGGAAGGGGAAGGGGUGGUUUUAGGGGACGAGGACGCGGAGGUAGUAUGGACCCAGGCUGUGAUGGGUGCCACUAUUGUGGUGAGGAAGGACACUGGAAAAGAGACUGUCCACACAGGCAAAGAUCUGAUUAUAAGCCUGAGAUAGUGGGUCAAUUCUCUGUGGAUCAUGAAUGAAGGGAGGCGCCGCUCCCCUGGGGCCCUGAGGUUUAUGAAGCUGGAAUGGUACAAUUUAAGUGUGAUGCUCGAUUUCCAGUGGUCCCCCUAAAGGUAGGACAAAAGACUUUUGAAUUAUUAGUGGACACGGGGGCCACUCAUUCGGCUAUACCUAAGGGAGCGGCACCAAAGGGUGAAGUAGAAAAAUGUGUGGUAGGAGUCACUGGAAAACCUGAAUGACAUUUCAUAACUAAUAAUUGUAUGGCUACGGUAGGGCCUAUAUCUGUUCAGCAUUCCUUUCUGUUAAUGAAUGGUCCAGUGAACUUACUGGGGAGAGAUUUGUUGUGUAAAUUGCAUGCCCAAAUUUCCUGUACUCCUGAAAGUAUUUCCCUUCGAUUCCCGGUGGAGAAAGCUUGUUUGCUAACGCAAUUAGCCGGCAGCAACUGUGAAACACUUCCCCUCCGAGUCCAAAAUGAAGUUCACCCUAUAGUGUGGGGAGGAAAACAUGAUGUGGGUCUGGUAAAAUCUGCCUCACCUCUAAAUCCAGUGAUAAAAAGCAAUAUGUCACCGCCUGCUCAGAGACAAUAUCCCCUUAAAAUCGAGGCUAUACAAGGACUUGAGUCCCUUGUGCAGAAUUUUAAGAACCAGGGAAUUUUAGUGCCAUGUGUCUCUCCUUGUAAUACUCCCAUUCUGGCUGUGAGGAAACCGCAGCUCGACUUAGAUGGAAAACCUGUAUAUAGAAUGGUGCAGCACUUAAGACUUAUCAAUCGGUAUGUGAUUCCAGAACAUCCUGUGAUGCCAAACCCAAGUACUGUUUUGGCAAUGAUGCCACCUGAAGCGGAUGGUUUACGUGCAUGGACUUAGUGAAUGCUUUCUUCUCUGUACCAGUGGCUCCAGAAAAGCAGAACCUUUUUGCAGUUACAUGGGGGGUCCCUGGUACAGCAGGGAAAGGGGAUAAAAGGUCUGGACCCCCGGGACAACUUACUUGGACUAGAAUGCCUGGAGGUUAUGUGGAAGCACCGAGUGUGUUGCUAGGGUUUUAGCUGAGGAUUUAAAGGAUGUCCAGUUACCGGCUGCCUCUACCCUGGUGACGUAUGUUGACGACAUUCUCGUGGCUUCCAGGACUCGAGAGGAUAAUGAGCGUGACUCUAUUUACUCAACCAGUUGGGACUCAAAGGACAUAAAGUCAGCCCCACUAAGUUGCAGUGGGCCUGGCAGGAGGUAAAGUACCUCGGGUAUACACUGGGUCCCGAAAUACGUAGUCUGGAUUCCAAAUGGAUAGAAACCAUAGUUAAUAUCACAUUUCCCACCACUAAGCGAGGUAUGCGGGCUUUUAUUGGUAUGAUUGGAUUUUGUCGCCCUUGGAUUAUUUCAGCUGGAAAAUGGUUAAAACCUUUGCAUGAACUAACCAGGGAGAAGGCUGAAGAACCUUUACAUCCUAACCCUGAGCAAAUAAGAGCUUUUCAAGCACUAAAAGAAUCUCUCAUUCGAGCUCCUGCGUUAGGACUGCCCAAUUACAGCAAGCCUUUUGAUUUGUGUGUGCAUGAGGUAAAAGGAGUAGCAUCUGGAGUACUAACACAGUCAUUUGGAAAUGCCCCUAGGCCUGUGGCAUACCUUUCAGGACAAUGUACCUCCAACCUUUGCUCCUUUAAUAUCAGUUCCCAAUGAUACUAAUAUGACCAAGGAAACGGAGAUCUACGUAAAAGAAUUGCAGCACCAUCUAGUGACAGUACAGCAGAACUCUGCACAUUCCCAAGCCUUACCAUUGUGGAAAGCUGUUCAUUCUUUGUUACCAGGUGAUCCCGUGUGGGUAAAAGCAUACAAGACUCCGCUUCAACCGCAGUGGCUAGGACCCUUUGAAAUUCUUCUGGUGAGCCCUACUGCCAUCUGAGUAAAGGAGCUACCCACCUGGAAUCAUCAUACUAGAGUCAAAAGGAGCACCGCUAGGGAACCUGACCAGGUAAAGGGUUCCCUAGAAGUAGAUGACGUCGGACUUCGAGGUUGCCACGCACGUUCAUCCCACCGUGAACCGGCUGAACCAGAAGCAGACGACAUCUGGGCCCGAGACCAAUGGACUGCUACCCCUUUGGGCGACCUGAAGCUUCGACUGCAGCUGAAAAAGCCUUAAAUUGGUGGCGUUCUUUCUCGAAAGAAUGGCCCCGUUUUCUGGCCUGGGGUCUUACGUUUUUAAUCUGUUUAUUUGUUACCUUUCUCUUCUGGUGGUACGAAGCAUAGGGCUAUAGAAUCUCACAGUCCUAACACCUUUAUACACCUUGCCCAUGAGAUGAAAGCUCGCAUGCCAGCCUGACAUAAUACUUCAUGCUGGGUAUGUUGUCUGAUGCCAGCGGAUAGCCAAAAAGGUCUCCCUAUGGUCCCUACUCCCCUCAGUGCAAGGAACAUGACCUGGACUCCCUCCUGGAAGAACUCUUCAGGCACUCUAAACAUAACCUGGAGUGAUACUGGAAUUAAGAAUAAAGGGUUCUUAAAUGUUUGGAGGAGACCGGGACAUUGGUGCCUCUUAAAAGGACCACAUGCUAAUUCUAGCAUUUUUGUUGGGAUUAGCCAGUGCACAUGGUAUUAUAACACCCCCCAUAGUGGACUAGCUUAUACACACACUAAGGAAGGAUUUCAAAUUAUAAAUGGUCCGGAUGUCUCUUUAAUUCCUAGAUGGAUGAAGGUAAAUACCACGACAUGUACACCUUCUUCCUCACACCUUUCCUAUAACUGCUUUUCUUUACACUGUACCUGAUGUUCCCCCGGACCCAAUAAUAGGUCCCUUUGCAUAUGCUCUUAUCCAAAUGGCCCAACCCUACCAAUCGGUCCAGACCGAUGGAAUCGGUGGGACCGACCCCUAUUCGGGGUAUAUUGGGUGUGUGGCAACAAAGCAUACCUAGUCCUCCCUCCCUCAUGGAGUGGAUCCUGCUAUCUGGCCUGGUUAGAGCCACCUGUAGUUUAUCGCGCCCACCUCCUAAGAGGGAAAAUCAGAAAUGUAAGGGCUGCUGAGGAAAAUGUUAAGGAAUCUCGCCCCCUUACCUGGCGGGCUCUAAAUGAUUGGACAGGCGUUUGUGCAGGAUUUGGUUUUGCUUGUGGCGGAGCCACCUGGCGAAUUGGCGAAGGAGUAAUACGACUUCAGGGGUUUUUGGAGAUAAUGGCAAACACUACCGCCGAUGCCCUGGUGGACUUGGCAACCGAACAGAGAAAACUAAGGCAGAUGGUUCUCCAGAACCGCUUGGCUCUAGAUAUCUUACUGGCCUCUCAGGGAGGAACAUGUGCACUAAUUGGGCAAGAGUGCUGCGUAUAUGUUCCUGAUGUUUAUAACACCACCUGGGACAGAGCAAACCACCUCAUACAAGUAGCAAAGGACCAUGGAGGGGAGCAGGUUAAUUCUUGGUGGAGCAACCUGUUUAAUUGGGUUCCAGACAUAGGUGGCUGGCUUCAUAAUUUGCUUCGCAGCGCUGUUGUAAUUAUUUGUGGCCUAAUAGCUUUGUAUGUUAUUCUCCAAUAUGGGUGUUGGAUAGGCACCAAGUUGUGCUCCACCCAGCAGUAAUUAGUUCAAAACUCAGUAAGAGUUGCAGCCAGUAUGUCCCAAGAGUCCUUUUAAGGUACUCUAGGGACAAAGAGGGGGUUGUUAGGACCCAAAAGAAAAUUGUAGAGCAGUUAUGCCAACCUAACCCGAAUUAGGCCAACAGAGGUUUCUGGGUAGUCCCCGGGCAGAAUCGAAGACAUAGUUGUUUAAGCUGAAAAAAUGAGAUAAGAGGGAAGCUGCAUUCCUGUACCAGAUGUGCUACGAACAGUGUGCUCAGAAGAUAGAUUAGGAGACAUACUAUCUCCACUCCCUGUUUCUGUUCUUUGUAUGUUCUUGAUUCCCCUGUCUCCUAGUUCUGGUGCUUGUUAACCAUGCUAAUAAGAAAGUUGCUGAGACAUUAUGAAUUGCUUAAGGCUGAUUGUAUAGGGGGAUAGGUAUACAUGAAUACUAAAAGUUUCUCGCUAACAAAGGGGGGUGGGAUGCGGGUUGUUUUAAAUGAAUAAUUUAUGACACGAUGGAACUGUCUGUCUAACCCUACUAGAUGUUAGAACGGUGGCUGGUUCUCUCUGGAGACGGGCCGCUCUCUAUUGUUGUGUGCACUCCUCAAUAAAGAGCUUGUCACUGGA